rnacentral:rRNA from 1 species
UUGGAGGGCAAGUCUGGUGCCAGCAGCCGCGGUAAUUCCAGCUCCAAUAGCGUAUAUUAAAGUUGUUGCAGUUAAAAAGCUCGUAGUUGAAUUUCGGGAUUAGUACGCUGGUCGUGCCUUCGGUACGUACUGGUGUUACUGAUUUCUACCUUCUGACGAACCAUCAUGUCAUUCAUUUGGUGUGGUGGGGAAUCAGGACUGUUACUUUGAAAAAAUUAGAGUGUUUAAAGCAGGCUCGCGCUUGAAUACAUUAGCAUGGAAUAAUGAAGUAGGACGUUGAUCCUAUUUUGUUGGUUUCUAGGAUUGACGUAAUGAUUAAUAGGGAUAGUUGGGGGCAUUAGUAUUCAAUUGUCAGAGGUGAAAUUCUUGGAUUUAUUGAAGGCUAACUACUGCGAAAGCAUUUGCCAAGGAUGUUUUCAUUAAUCAAGAACGAAAGUUAGGGGAUCGAAGACGAUCAGAUACCGUCGUAGUCUUAACCAUAAACUAUGCCGACUAGGGAUCGGAUGAUGUUAAUUUUUUAAUGACUCAUUCGGCGCCUUACGGGAAAC